rnacentral:rRNA from 1 species
GACGAACGCUGGCGGCGUGCUUAACACAUGCAAGUCGAGCGGUAAGGCCUUUUCGGGGGUACACGAGCGGCGAACGGGUGAGUAACACGUGGGUGACCUGCCUUUAGCUCUGGGAUAAGCCUGGGAAACUGGGUCUAAUACCGGAUACGACUCCGCGGUGCAUGCUGUGGGGUGGAAAGCCUUGUGCGGCUGGAGAUGGGCCCGCGGCCUAUCAGCUUGUUGGUGGGGUGAUGGCCUACCAAGGCGACGACGGGUAGCCGGCCUGAGAGGGCGACCGGCCACACUGGGACUGAGACACGGCCCAGACUCCUACGGGAGGCAGCAGUGGGGAAUCUUGCGCAAUGGGCGAAAGCCUGACGCAGCGACGCCGCGUGA